rnacentral:rRNA from 1 species
UACGUAGGGUGCGAGCGUUAAUCGGAAUUACUGGGCGUAAAGGGUGCGCAGGCGGUCUCGUAAGCUGGGUGUGAAAGCCCCGGGCUUAACCUGGGAAUGGCAUUCAGGACUGCGAGGCUUUGAGUGCGGCAGAGGGAGGUGGAAUUCCACGUGUAGCAGUGAAAUGCGUAGAGAUGUGGAGGAACACCGAUGGCGAAGGUAGCCUCCUGGGCCAGCACUGACGCUCAUGCACGAAAGCGUGGGGAGCAAACAGG